rnacentral:rRNA from 1 species
AGAGUUUGAUCCUGGCUCAGAACAAACGCUGGCGGCGUGUCUUAAGCAUGCAAGUCGAGCGGCAAGGGCAGCAAUGCCCCUAGAGCGGCGGACUGGUGAGUAACGCGUGGGUGAUCUACCUAGGGCAUGGGGAUAGCCACUAGAAAUAGUGGGUAAUACCGAAUACGUUCGUUACCGUGAGGGUAACGAGGAAAGGUGCUACGGCACCGGCCUUACGAUGAGCUCGCGUCCCAUUAGCUAGUUGGUGAGGUAAAGGCCCACCAAGGCGAUGAUGGGUAGCCGGCCUGAGAGGGUGUACGGCCACACUGGGACUGAGAUACGGCCCAGACUCCUACGGGAGGCAGCAGCUAAGAAUAUUCCGCAAUGGACGAAAGUCUGACGGAGCGACGCCGCGUGGAUGAUGAAGGCCGAAAGGUUGUAAAAUCCUUUUGUCGGGGAAGAAUAAGCGUGGGAGGGAAUGCCCGUGUGAUGACAUGAACCGGCGAAUAAGCCCCGGCUAACUACGUGCCAGCAGCCGCGGUAACACGUAGGGGGCGAGCGUUGUUCGGAAUUACUGGGCGUAAAGGGCAUGUAGGCGGUCUUGUAAGCUUGGCGUGAAAGACCACGGCUCAACCGUGGGAUUGCGUUGAGAACUGCGAGGCUUGAGUGACGGAGAGGGAGCUAGAAUUCCUGGUGUAGGGGUGGAAUCUGUAGAGAUCAGGAAGAAUACCAAUGGCGAAGGCAAGCUCCUGGCCGAUGACUGACGCUGAGGUGCGAAAGUGUGGGGAUCAAACAGGAUUAGAUACCCUGGUAGUCCACACUGUAAACGAUGUGCACUAGGUGCUGGUACGGAUGUAUCAGUGCCGUAGCUAACGUGAUAAGUGCACCGCCUGGGGAGUAUGCUCGCAAGGGUGAAACUCAAAGGA